GGCGCUAUAGUGUAGUGGUUAUCACUCGGGAUUUUGAUUGCGCCUUAUGCAGAAUAUCUUCCCGAAACCCAGGUUCGAACCCUGGUAGCGCCU